rnacentral:lncRNA from 1 species
UCCUUAUAGCAGCCCUCAUGUAAUCAGUGAAAACAAAGAAAGUUGCACAAUAUGGGAUCAGACCAGGGCUGUGUAGUGCAAUACCAUUGCAGAUGGCUCCCAUUCCAUGCUCCCUGACACCAAACCGGACAUUACGUUCUUCAGGGGUGUCCUUUUGGAAGUCCCCAAACAUUUUCAACAAGGUCAUGUUGGAAGAGGCAAGGUCUGCACUGCCACCAAGAAGUCCAGGGAGUACUUUUGCAAGCGCAUUUAGGUUUGUCUGGGAGAGAUUUCUGGUUGCCUCUGCUGGGCUGUCUGGAGUGUAUGUCUGGUAGAUUACAAUAAAACUAUUAAAAGAUUUUCUAGACCAAAAAUCCAAUGUUAACACCAUAUCAUAGUUCUAAACAGUGAUUUAUCUUGUAUAAUGCAAAUGGGACAUGAAGAUGUUAAAUCCACUUCUCCUUAAUUGAAUAGAGAAGGAAAACAUAAACCAACAGUUAAAUUUGAGGCAUUAAAAUUGUUGACACAGUAUCAAAUGCAUAGAAUGCUUGCUAAAAUAAACAGUAAUGUAAAUGUUUAGAUAUUGAAAAUCACUCAAGAGAUCAUAGAUAUAAUCAAGAACUGUGCAGAUGAUUAAAGCUCUACUCACUGGAAGAGCCUUCUCCCAACCAGCAGGCAGUUCACCAGUGAUGAUAGACUUCAAUUCUGCAGCUUCCUCCUUGUACUUCUUCUCAUACUCGGCAAACUUUGCAUUCCAUUCAGCUUCAAAAGCAGCACCCUCUGGAACAUGGCGACUCCAAUGC